rnacentral:rRNA from 1 species
UGGUCAAGUUAUUAAGGGUGCAGGGCGGAUGCCUUGGCACUAGGAGCCGAUGAAGGACGUGAUAAGCUGCGAUAAGCUUCGGGGAGUUGCACGUAAACUUUGAUCCGAAGAUUUCCGAAUGAGGAAACUCACUUAGAGUAAUGUCUAAGUAUCAUUAAGUGAAUACAUAGCUUAAUGAGGGGAACUCAGGGAACUGAAACAUCUAAGUACCUGAAGGAAGAGAAAGAAAUUCGAUUCCGUAAGUAGCGGCGAGCGAACGCGGAUUAGCCCAAACCAAUAAAGUUUUCUUUAUUGGGGUUGCGGACAUAUCAUAACGAAGAGGUAUCGUAAUUGAAGAGGUUUGGAAAGACCCACCACAGAAGGUAAUAGUCCUGUAUGUUAAACGAGAAGACUUCAGAUAUGAUCCAGAGUACCACGGGACACGUGAAACCCUGUGGGAAGCAGGAGGGACCACCCUCCAAGGCUAAAUACUACCUAGUGACCGAUAGCGUAUAGUACCGUGAGGGAAAGGUGAAAAGAACCCCGGGAGGGGAGUGAAAUAGAACCUGAAACCCUGCACUUACAAGCUGUGGAAGCACAUUUCUUGUGUGACCGCGUACUUUUUGUAGAACGGGCCAACGAGUUACGUUAAGUAGCAAGGUUAAGCACUUAAGGUGCGGAGCCGUAGCGAAAGCGAGUUUUAACUGAGCGUUCAGUUACUUGACGUAGACCCGAAACCGGGCGACCUACCCAUGAGCAGGAUGAAGCGAAAGUAAAAUUUCGUGGAGGUCCGAACCCACGAGCGUUGAAAAGCUCGGGGAUGACUUGUGGGUAGCGGUGAAAUUCCAAUCGAGCCCGGAGAUAGCUGGUUCUCCCCGAAAUAGCUUUAGGGCUAGCCUCAAGGUGAGAGAUACGGAGGUAGAGCACUGAAUGUCCUAGGGGGUAUUGCACCUACCGAAGACUAUCAAACUCCGAAUGCCGUCAUCUUAUACUUGGGAGUCAGACUGUGGGUGAUAAGAUUCAUAGUCGAAAGGGCAACAGCCCAGAUCGUCAGCUAAGGUCCCUAAAUGUAAGUUAAGUGGUAAAGGAUGUGGGAUUGCACAGACAACCAGGAUGUUGGCUUAGAAGCAGCCACUCAUUCAAAGAGUGCGUAAUAGCUCACUGGUCGAGUGAUCCUGCGCCGAAGAUUUCCGGGGCUAAAACUUACUACCGAAGCUACGGCAUCAGUAAUGAUGGGUAGGGGAGCUUCCCAUACGGGUUGAAGCAUGACCGUAAGGACAUGUGGACAGUAUGGGAGUGAGAAUGUUGGCAUGAGUAGCGAGAUGUGGGUGAGAAUCCCACAGGCCGUAAACCCAAGGUUUCCAGGGGAAGGUUCGUCCGCCCUGGGUUAGUCGGGACCUAAGCUGAGGCCGAAAGGCGUAGGUGAUGGACAACAGGUUGAUAUUCCUGUACUACCGAUAACCGUUUGAGAGAAGGGAUGACACAGUAGGAUAAGCUAAGCACACUGUUGGUUAUGUGUGUCCAAGCAUUGAGGCAGUCAAAGUAGGCAAAUCCGCUUUGAUAAUGCUGGGAUGUGAUGGGGAGCGAAAUUUAGUAGCGAAGUAGCUGAUUUCACACUGUCAAGAAAAGUCUCUAUCGAGGUUAAAGGUACCCGUACCGCAAACCGACACAGGUGGGUGAGGAGAGUAUCCUAAGGCCAGCGAGAGAACUGUUGUUAAGGAACUCGGCAAAAUGACCCCGUAACUUAGGGAUAAGGGGUGCCACCAUCAGGUGGCCGCAGAGAAUAGGCCCAAGCGACUGUUUACCAAAAACAUAGGUUUCUGCUAAGUCGCAAGACGAUGUAUAGGAGCUGACGCCUGCCCGGUGCUGGAAGGUUAAGGGGAUCUGUUAGAGCAAUCGAAGCAGUGAACUUAAGCCCCAGUAAACGGCGGCCGUAACUAUAACGGUCCUAAGGUAGCGAAAUUCCUUGUCGGGUAAGUUCCGACCCGCACGAAAGGCGUAACGAUUUGGGCACUGUCUCAACAACAGACUCGGUGAAAUUGUAAUUCCGGUGAAGAUGCCGGAUACCUGCGACAGGACGGAAAGACCCCAUGGAGCUUUACUGUAGCUUGACAUUGGGUCUUGGUACUACAUGUACAGGAUAGGUGGGAGGCUUUGAAACCAGGACGCCAGUUUUGGCGGAGCCAUCCUUGGGAUACCACCCUUGUAGUACUGGGACUCUAACCAUAGGCCAUGAAUCUGGUCUUGGGACACUGUCAGGUGGGCAGUUUGACUGGGGCGGUCGCCUCCCAAAAGGUAACGGAGGCGCUCAAAGGUUCUCUCAGUACGGUCGGAAAUCGUACGUAGAGUGUAAAGGCAAAAGAGAGCUUGAUUGCAAGACAUACAGGUCGAGCAAGGAUGAAAAUCGGACUUAGUGAUCCGGUGGUUCUGCGUGGAAGGGCCAUCGCUCAACGGAUAAAAGUUACCCUGGGGAUAACAGGCUUAUCUCCCCCAAGAGUCCACAUCGACGGGGAGGUUUGGCACCUCGAUGUCGGCUCAUCACAUCCUGGGGCUGUAGUAGGUCCCAAGGGUUGGGCUGUUCGCCCAUUAAAGUGGUACGCGAGCUGGGUUCAGAACGUCGUGAGACAGUUCGGUCCCUAUCCGUCGCAGGCGUAGGAAAUUUGAGAAGACCUGUCCUUAGUACGAGAGGACCGGGAUGGACGUACCUCUGGUGUACCAGUUGUUCUGCCAAGGGCAUGGCUGGGUAGCUAUGUACGGAAUGGAUAAGCGCUGAAAGCAUCUAAGCGCGAAGCCAACUUCAAGAUAAGAUUUCCCACCGCAAGGGUAAGACCCCAGAAAGACUAUCUGGUUGAUAGGUCGAAGGUGUAAGUGCAGCAAUGUAUUUAGCUUAUCGAUACUAAUAGGUCGAGGACUUGACCAAU